GACGAACGCUGGCGGCGUGCCUAAUACAUGCAAGUAGAACGCAGUUGCGAACGGGUGAGUAACGCGUAGGUAACCUGCCUCAUAGCGGGGGAUCACUAUUGGAAACGCUAGCUAAUACCGCAUACUGUGAGAUGGACCUGCGUUGUAUUGGCUAGUUGGUUAGGUAAAGGCUCACCAAGGCGACGAUACAUAGCCGACCUGAGAGGGUGAUAGGCCACACUGGGACUGAGACACGGCCCAUACGCCUGCGGGAGGCAGCAGUGGGGAAUUUUGGACAAUGGGGGCAACCCUGAUCCAGCCAUGCCGCGUGUAGGAAGAGGGCCGUCGGAUUGUAAAGUACUUUCAGCGGGGAGGCGUUACCCGCAGAAGAAGCACCGGCUAACUCCGUGCCAGCCGCCGCGGUAAUUC
rnacentral:rRNA from 1 species